GGGUUAAGCACUGGCCAAAUAUUUAAUUUCUGGUAUUCUGGUGACUAAUAUGAUUUGAACUAUGAACUGUGUCACUUUUGGUGGCUGAAAGGGAAAGGGUUUUAGUGGAACCCCUCGAUUUGAGAAAUUGACUGUUUAUCAGAACUUGGUAGUAAAAGAGAGCCCAAUAAAAGCUGAGAGUGUAUAUUUUAGUUGAAAUCUCUUGGACUGCGAGAUUGACUGUGUGGUGAACCGUAAUCCCAGACCAACAAAACUAGUGACUAUUGUCAAAUUGCAUUUUAUCUCCUUAUUUUUGUUUUUUUAAAUCUUUGUCUCUGAAGUUUAAAAUCAAGACAAGGGAGUUUUCAGCAAAUGACAAUGGAGCCCGGGCAACAGCAGAUUUGGUAUGCAGUGCCUGUUGAAGUCGAAAACUGCAUUUUGAACACUCUAAAAAAUAUUGGUCGUCAUGAACUGAAUCUCCUGGUGUCUGUCAAAUGUAGGAACUUGUUCAGAUUUCCGAUUAGCGGACAGUGUGAUCAGAACAAGGGGAGAAACUGUCUGGAAGUAAAAUUAAAAUGAGACAGCAGAUUAAAGCUGUUGCAGGAAAUUUGCAUUUGAUAAGUUUUAAUUGUUUUAAUUCUUCAUGUAUUCCCAGAUUGGGAACUUUGAAAUACUUUGACACAGAAUGUCACGCUCCUCCGUGUCUGGGUUAAACAGCAUUUAAUAGUUAAUAAACAUUUUCUCAGUCUUUAUUCUGCCUCUCCUGUCAGCUCUCAUUCCUUAUCUCCUUCUUUUUCAACAAGGGAGCAGCUCUUGCCCUUGGCUAUUGUUUUGUUUUUAUUAUUGCUAGAUGAGCAUUAUAAGAUGACACUUGUCCUACAUGACCCUUAGAUGUGACCAGAAGCUGGUUCAGAUAACUCAUGUUAUAUACGUUAAGUAUCAGUUUGGACUGUUUAUUGAAUAUUCCUACAAUAAAUUCUGUCAAAAAUACACAUCCCUACUGCAGACCAAUCCCACCUCAUGUAGUUCAUAUGCUGUAUAAUAAAUCCACAGUGAUGGUUAUGGAUAAAUAUCUGUACUAAUGGUAAUCUUUUUCCAUUGUUUCCAGUUGACAAGCAUAUGGACCUAUUGUUCGAGUCCGUGGUGGUGGAUGCUCUACCAUAUCAGGAGUCUGUGGUGGUGGAUGCUCUACCAUAUCAGGAGUCUGUGGUGGUGGAUGCUCUACCAUAUCAGGAGUCUGUGGUGGUGGAUGCUCUAUCAUAUCAGUAGUCUGACUAAGUACCUGUGCCUGAACCGCUCUGUGUCUAGUUCAAAAGACCUGAAAGACCUGCUGUAAGCAGGCACAGGUUAAGAUUUUAAAAGAACCUGUAAGGUUGCCUGAUGCUGAACUUCGGGCAGCUGCGUGUGACUGUACUCCCGUGGAACAACCGCCUGUGGGAGGAGUCGUUGUGUUGCUGUUAGGAGUUUGGGUCGGAGUCCUGGGUUUGCGUUCCCUUUAAUCUCUUCCUUAGCCUUGCUAGUCACCAUUGCAGAGCACCAUGGAGAGGCUUACCUGAAAACUCUUCUCAUGGGGCAGGCACAUCCUCACACACCUGUAACCCCAUCCUUGAAUAAAAGCUGGUAGCUGGUCACUCAUCAGAGUGUUUUAACCCAUAUCUAGCCCAUGACUCUGCCGUUUUUCAAACUUACGUUCUCAUGUUCUAUGCAGAUCUAUGGGAAUUCUUUCCUUGAAGUUCCUGAUCACACAACCAUACUGGCAGUCGGCUUACCCACUACCUUCUGCUCACCCACUUGCAACUCAUGCUGUCAUUCUCCCAGACUUCUGGUUGUUUCUCCACCAUUCUGCUGUCUCCCGUCUGCGCUACAAUUUCAGACCGGCCUUCUGAUCUUUAAACACUAAAACCUGUGGCUCCAUCUCUGUGGCGUUUCUCAGUCUCUAAGCUUCUGGUUCCUGAUCUCCAGCAGUUACCUCUUCAGUCAUCUGUCAAACAUUUUAAUAAACUGUUUUUAGCUCAUUUGUCUCCUGA